rnacentral:lncRNA from 1 species
GGGCAGGGGGAGGAUAUUGACAAGUCUGGAAAGAGUAGCUCUCCCAACCACAGGUUCAACCAAUGGCUCUUAAGCUGGUUACACAUUGGAAUCACCUGGAGACCCAUGGCAACUCCCACGGCGGUUCCCACCUUCCGAGAUCCUGAUUUGAUUAGCAGAGGAUGGGGCCUGGGCAUCUGUAUUUUUUAAGUCUCCAUACAUGAUUCAAGUGUGCAGAGGACUGAACGCCAUUGGGUUUGGGUUGAAAAGUGCGUGGGUUACCCCAGAGGGAACUUUGACUUUCAAUCUCUUCUCUGCGGACGUCCCUGUCAGAGGCCAGAAUGACUGAAUUGAUCUGCAGUGUCUCCAUCCUCCCUAAAGAAAGACCAAUUACUCCAAAGGAGGAGAAGAGAUGGAGAUAUAAUAAACCACCCCCAGACAGUGGCCAUGAAGCCCAACCGUGCAGAAGGUGCUCAAGGAGCACCUAUUUCGAGCAGAACCACGUCCAAUUGUUUACCAGGAAAUUAGAGGGGAAGAGCCAGCAGGCAAUUGUUUCCAUCCUUCCCGAUGACGAACAGGCUGACCACAGGCGGGAAACAUACCUAAAAAUAUUCAUCAUUACUGACAGAAGAAAAGAACAAUGAAAAACCCUGGAGUCCAUCCUGCCUGAGGGCCAACAUGUCUAAACCCCCUCCUUACUGCCCAUUUUCCCUAUGUAACUGCCUCAAGAUUCUGCAAUCCUUGAGGAUGGUUUCUCUGAGACAUUGGUCUGCCAUCUUCCUGAUUAUGCCGGCCACUCGAAUUAAAGCUUCUUUUCUCAAUCCCUAAUUUGUUAUGACUGAUUGAUUCAUACUGUGGCUAGUGGAGCAAGCCCAGGGCUCAUAUCACCCCUUUCCCAUUUCACCCUCCCCCUACACCCUUCCCCUCUAGUAACCACCAAUUUGUUCUCUGUAUCU